UACGUAGGCAGCGAGCGUUGUUCGGAAUUACUGGGCGUAAAGAGUGUGUAGGCGGUGCUCCCAGUCUGUUGUGAAAUCUCCCGGCUUAACCGGGAGGGUGCAGCGGAAACUAGAGUGCUAGAGGGUGGGAGAGGUAAGCGGAAUUCCUGGUGUAGCGGUGAAAUGCGCAGAUAUCGGGAAGAACACCCGUGGCGAAGGCGGUUCUCUGGGACGGUACUGACGCUGAGACGCGAAAGCGUGGGGAGCGAACAGG
rnacentral:rRNA from 1 species